UCUGACAUUGGUAGGCAGAAGCAGGGGUGU
rnacentral:piRNA from 1 species